GCCGGCCUUGCAUGGACUGGCUGUGGACAUCCUGUGAUCUCCCCUGCCGGCUAGGGCCCAUAGACAUUGCGGCCCACCGGGCAUUUGCCCGGUGUGCCCAAUGGCCAGGCCGGGCCUGUGUCCAACAGUAAGGUAGGUUACCUUAAAUUAUUUGAGUCCAUGAUCUGGCCCACACAGGUUCCUACAUUCUCAGAUACUAUCCUACGUUUUCUCAAUAUUAGGUUGCUCUACCCUACUACUAUCCUUACUCUACUCCUACU